rnacentral:lncRNA from 1 species
AGUUCAUUUUGUUUCACUACGUUGAGAUCAGAAGGUGGCAAGACAUCAAGAAUCCCGGAAGUGUUAACCAAGAUCCCAUUUUCAAGAACUACAGCUUGCCUCCAAAUGAAGUUGGAUACCCUGGUGGCAUUUUCAACCCCUUGAACUUCGCCCCCACUGAGGAGGCCAAGGAGAAAGAGCUUGCUAACGGUAAGAUAAGAACACUCUACUCGAACUAGACACUUCUUUUCCCACAAAUGUGACAAAAUCUGUGGUGUACCAUGCAGGAAGACUAGCAAUGUUGGCAUUCUUGGGAUUUGUGGUUCAGCACAAUGUGACUGGGAAGGGGCCAUUUGAGAACCUGUUGCAGCACCUCUCAGACCCAUGGCACAACACAAUUGUCCAGACAUUCGGCGGUUAAUUUUUACAUAUUGGAGAUGAAAUUAAAUGAAAUGAAAUAUCAUCUUUCUUAU